rnacentral:tRNA from 1 species
UGGGUAUGUAGCUCAGGUGGUAGAGCACCGGGCUUUUAACCCGAUGGUCGAAGGUUCGAGUCCCUCCAUACCCAU